rnacentral:rRNA from 1 species
UACGUAGGGUGCAAGCGUUGUCCGGAAUUAUUGGGCGUAAAGAGCUCGUAGGCGGUUUGUCGCGUCGGCUGUGAAAACCUGGGGCUCAACCCCGGGCCUGCAGCCGAUACGGGCAAACUAGAAUUCGGUAGGGGGGACUGGAAUUCCUGGUGUAGCGGUGAAAUGCGCAGAUAUCAGGUGGAACACCGGUGGCGAAGGCGGGUCUCUGGGCCGAUAUUGACGCUGAGGAGCGAAAGCGUGGGGAGCAAACAGG